rnacentral:tRNA from 1 species
GGAGGAUCCUGUCAACUCAUCAGGCUCAUGACCUGAAGAUUGCAGGUUCGAAUCCUGU